CCCCUGUUGAAGGGAGAAAGCCCCGAGGACUUAGAGGCAGCAGCUAGAAAAUGGGAGGCGCCUGGAGGCCAGAGUGACUGGGGAAUGGUGGCUCGUCACCCACUGCCCACAGCAACCUGCUCUGGGCUGUGAUGACCCAGCAGAGAAGAGAAAUACAUUUUGACAGUGGGCCAAGUUGGAUCCUAUUAACUCUAGGCCAAAGGCAAAGCUUACAGGGACUUCAGAAUAUGUUUCAAAAUUCGAGCUAGAUCCUGCACACAGCUGUACAUAAAACCUCAGGAGUGGUUUCUUAAGAUGAGUUGGAAGAAUAGAUCAUUGCAGUGACUUAACCACUGCAUCUAAAACAGUUUUAAUUUUUGAAGUUUUAAUUUUUAAUUUUGAAACAGUUUAAAUUUUGAACACCAUCUCUCUGGAGGACAGUAACUAGCAUCCCACCUCUGGAAUCCAUCUGUGUACCAGCAAGAUUAAUGCCUAAGAAAAUCUGGCCAGGAUCCAGACAGAGAGCAAAACACAAGUGAAUGGGGAGGAACUUUCCGCAGAGGGUCUGAGGCUAUCUGCUUCUGUUGCAGAAGUGAGCAAUCUGGAAGCAGACCACCGAAGGCCAGCCAGGGCUUCGGAAAGGUUUCCCACUCCCUCCAGCUCUUCCUCCAACUAGGAGAGGUUGGGGUGGAGGAGCCAGGAGACCCACCACGAAUGGGCGCUGGGCUGCAGGCAAAUGUGAGUCAGACGAGGCCUGCCCUGGGGGAGCAUCGCAUUCAGCAGGAGAAGCAGUCCCGCGUGCAGAUCUGCGUCAGUCUCUCCAGCUGCUCAUCUUGGAUGACCUUGGCCUUCUCGUACUGCUGGAUGACCAUCUCCAUCUCCACCUUCACCGGCAGGACGUAGGCUGGAAGACAGAGACAGCUCCGUGAAGAACUUGGCAGUAGCGGGACUCAGGCGGGAGAGGGGCCGGUGCCAGCAGCCAGCCAGCUGCAGGUUCAAGUCUGGGAGCAGUUCCUAGAGGAGCCAGGGAGUGCGGGGGUUGGAGGGAUGCUAGGCCCCCCCACAGCACCCAGACAGUCUAAGAGGGCUAGAACCCCAACCCGCGGUGACCAAGAGAUCCGUUUUCCUCCUUUGCCCUAGUGACAGCACACUUCAUUCUGGCCGUGUGCACAGCUGCCCGGAGCAAGGGCUGGAUUUUUGAGUCUCCUGUGUGGCUGUGGGUUCCAGAGGCUGGCCCCAGCGGCUUCUGCCUCCUCAGAUCUCUGCUGAAGCCAGUUCACACCCAGGGUGAGAGAAGCAAAUUAACACCCCCACAACCACACAGCACAUCCCUAUCCUGAGGCUCCCAGUGGCACAGCCACGCCUGCUGUGUCAGGAAAAAGGGGGAGCAGCUGGGAAGAGCAUUCACAAUGGGCUGUCAGAUCCAUCAGUGUGAGGGUGUCCAGCUGUUCAGGGCCGGCAGAGAAGAGCCAGAAGGCGCUGUUCCUGUUCUGCAGGGAAAGGAUGUUCUCGUGAAUGGAGCCAAGGACAGCGCCCUGAGCAGAUGGGGUUGAUAGCUCCAGGUUCGGUAGCAGCCACCUGCCACCCAGCCAGCUCUGCUGACCCUUUUUGGACCACUCACCAUCAAUGACCCUCUUCACCCGCCAGAUCCGGAGCAUGAUAAUGAGGCUGAUGGCAUCCCAGGGGCUCCUGGGCCCAUUGGCCACAGUGGACGCCACCAUUGGGGCUAAGGACAGGAUGAUCACAGCCCCGUCAAACACCUGUGAGAGGAAUUAGAUUUCAGUGUCUUGGGCCACCUUCCUGAAUGUCCUGGAAGCAGGUCAGGCAAAGCAGCUGGUGCUGGCAGGUUUCUCCAGGAGAUCUGUCCCCACAUCAGGCUCCCCUAUCCCUGGCUGUCUCUCCUGACUCUCCUCAGUCUCUUUAGUGACCUACUAGCUCCUAGACAUGCUCCUGAGCACUCUCUUUCCUCUUAAGUGACCUCAGCCCAUCCCCAGCCUUUGUUCUGAUGGCCUGGGGUUGCUCCCAGCAUCUUUUCCCAGCGUCUCGUCCCUUCCUGCGAUGGGGACUGUAUUCCAUGUCCCAGGGUUCCUGUUCUAGCCUCGCUGAAUCCCUCACUGGCAGUGGGAGCUGAAGACAGGACCCUUCCCCUUGGGUAGCACAGGAGCCCAGAGCCCACAUCUCAUUUCUAUCUGAUGCUGAGUCUCUCACCACACAGGGAGGCAGGGCUAGAAGAAGAGGGGGCCCAGCAUAGGCAAUUCAGCAUGGGGUGAUUCAGCCUUGGGCCCUGACCUUCUAUCUACCUGCUCAAGCUUGGGUUCAUCUAGACUUCUAUGGGCCAGGCCUCUGUUAGCAUUAGGCCCAAAGAUGCUACAAUGUGGAUGUGGGGUGGGGGGUGGGCGAGGAAGGAAUGGACAGCAGACACUGACCGCCUUGCCUUGUUCUAAGUGCACAAAAUUCCCAGCGACAGCCAGGCUUCCUCGGCCCCUCAUCCCCACUCACUGCACCAGGCCCUUCUACACGAAGCAGAGCAGCUGGAUGCUCUGCUGAAACAAGGCUGAGAAGUGCCUAGAUGGUUUCUGGCCCAGCUCUCUAACCCCUGGGCCAUUUUAGAGUGGACUCAUUUGUUUUAAGACACAUUUCAAAGCUUUUCCAAAUGAUUCAAGAAAAACUUUUUAAAUCUUGCCGAAUUUUGAGGAGAAUUUUUAGACCGUCCCUUUGCCAGGAACUUUUUGCGUCUGCCUGCCCCCUCCCCACAACCCCAACAACACAGCUGCAGAAACUCCUGCAUCCAGUGUGGAAGGAGCAGGCCUUUUUGAUGCUCCCAUCCGGAGGGACAUUUUCCAGCUCCCAGGACGGCCAGCAUGGGGGGUGGGUGUGUACACUGGCCUUUACCUCGAUUUUGUUUUCAAUAUAAUCCCAGAUCCCAAGCACCACAAUCCGCAGAACAGUCUGAGGAGAGGAAAUGAGAGAAGAGAUUAUAGUUACUGCUCUCCAGCCCCUGCCCCUCCCUCCCCCCAGCAGAGAAGAUUCUGGAGCUCAGAAUCGGGGCUCUGCAUCCUUGUUCAGUAACGGAAAACAUCUUCACCAUCUGCUGUUUCUCAGCCCACAUGCUCUCUCUACCACACUCUGCCUCAGCUCCUGGUUUGUGUCACGAUCUGUGCAAACCUCCCCCUGCACCCCAACACCCUGCAGGGCUCCCAGGACAUAGAGAAUAUACUCCUAUCCUUUGAAAAAACACUCAGGCCCAUCUCCCUUUCCAGAGUCAUCUCCUGCACUCCUGUCUAUGCCACAAAUCUAUAAACAUGUAAGCUCUUUCCUCUUUUGCCUUGCCUUUGCAUGUGGCAGACUGUCUGUUCACACCUCUCCCCACCCCAUCUCUUCUUUCUUAGAGAAUAACUGGAUAAUUAGCAUGGUCACCCAGCUACAGCUGACAUUUCCCAGCCGUGGAAGGUAUUAGGCUCCUUCUCCUCUUUCCCUCUUCCCAAAGACUAGAAUGUGCAGGUAUGGUGGUGAGCCAUCCUCAGGUAGGGCGGGCUGGGCGACAAGAUGGAGGCAUUCUGGGUCCCCAGCAGCCCCACACCACCACGUCUGCCUGAACUGUUCACCCCACCUGUCCUUCCAUGAGAGCGAAGUGGACCCUGCCUUGUUGAAGCCCUUGUGUUUUCUGUUUUCUUUUAGAGCAGCAUGGCCUGUGUGCUAAGCAACUAUGCCCUCUCCUUUCUCUACCUGGAAAAGGCCUUCCUGUCCUUCUGGCCUCUGCUCAGAUGUCACCUCUGUGAGGUUCUCCCACAUCCCCUGGGCUCAGUGCCUCUUUCCUUGGCGUUCCUGUAGAACUUGGAACAUCAGUCACUCUUCUGUGGCACUUCAUCGUACCUUGUGGUGAUUACCUCCCUGAUGCCCCAGUCAAGGCUCAAGAGACACCGAUUUCUCUCCAUUACCCCUAAUCCCUGACAUAGAGUAGACACGGAAUGCUUGUGAGGUUUGGGUGAAUGAACAAAUGCACGUGUGAAUGACUAAUUCCUUAAAACCCCUAGUAAGUCAUUCCAAUGCUGCUGCCUUCAGGCCAGGUUUCCUCAUCAAGGCUACAUACAUCUCCCUCCAAAGAGAAUACUUAGACAUGCUGGUACAUUUGUCUGGAGGCCCUUCCUUAAACCAAGAUGACUAGUUCACAGUAAUUCACACCAGACGGUGUCUCUUCUCCCACGAGCUGCAGUACAGGGCCAGCACGUGAACUCAACAAAGCUGCCAAAAGCCCAUGGAUCUCCACCCACAUUUAAACCACAGAUCGGCUUGGCUGAUAAAAUUCACCUCCUCCUUAUAAAAGACUAUCCUGUUCUCAUGAAGGAAUGCAUAGGUGGGGUGCUGGCGGCAUCUUUGACAACCGCGAGGGUCAUGUGACAGCCUGAUGUCCAUUCUCACCUGGCUUCCUGAUCUCCCGGAGAGGGAAGCUGAAGCUCACAGAGAUUAAGGAAGCGGCCCAGGUCACUCAGGCAUUGGAUGGUGAGCUGGCCUUUGGACCCAGAUGUUUUGGACUCCGCAUGGUAUACUCAAGCAGUGUAACCACCAUGGGCCUGGUUUCUCUGGUUGCUGUUCAAUCCAUCUAACUGUACUGACAUUGAAAUUUGGUCUUUGUCGCCCCUGAAAUGUCACACCAGCCACAUCCACUCCAAAUUCCCAGUUGUGAGGCUCCCAAAGCAAAAAGUGCAGGCCAGGACAGAGGGGAACAGGGCCUGGUCCGAAGAGAAUUUCUCCUGCUGCUUCUCCUUCUCCUUUGUCCUCUUUUAAGAUUGUGGUAAAAUACACGUAACGCAAAUUUUACCAUUUUAGCCAUUUCUAAAAGCGUACUGUGGCAUUAAGUACAUUCGCACUGUCACGCAACUGUCACCACCAUCCGUCUCCAGAAGUUUUCCAUCGUACUCACUAGACACGAACUCCCCAUCCCCCGCCCCUGCCAGCACCGUUCUACUUUCUGUUUCUGAGGUUGACUCCUCUAGGAACCUCCUAUAAAAGGAAUCUUGCCGCUUCUUUAUAAGCAAGGCAGCAGCCCAGGGGAUGUGGGGCUGGGGGAUGAGGAAGGGAGCCGGCCAGGCAUGAGCUGCAGCCAGCAACCCCCGCGAGGGGAGGAGCCAGCAGCAGGCAGCGCGCGCCCACCUCUGGGCUCCGAAGCGAUGGAAGUGGAGCGGCUGGAGGACUGAAGCAGCACCACAGAAACAAGCCGUGUGGCUGGGGCACGGGGCUCCCUGCCUCCCUCCCUGCUGGCCCACCCCCCCAGGAUCCGUCCUCUGAGGCCCAGCUCAGGUCACCCUCCUCUGGGGGCGCCUUUCCUUCCUAACCCGGCCUAUGGAAACAGAACAGCCAAAGGCAGCUGUGGAGAGAGCUGUGGAAACACCUCCUGGUCCAGCCUCGCACCGCAGAGGGGGAAGGGUGGCCUGAGACAGCUGCUCCAAGUCCGAGUCAGAGCUAGAACGAGAAGCCAGCUCCAAGACACCCCACCUGGUGGCCCUGCCCUGCGGCGUCCUUUGCCAAGCUCUCCUGUCUGCAGAGACAGGCACCUGGCCACCCUGCCCUGCCACGGGCUGACUCACCCACGGACAGCUGUGUUUCUCAACAUGCAGGCAAGGACCCCCUGCGUCAGUCACAUCUGGGGAUCUGUCUCAGCUGCAGAUUCCUGGGCUGGCCUGGAGGUCCAGAUAUCAGAAUCUCUGGGGGCAGGGCCCAGGAAUAUGCCUUUUCCACAAACUUCCCUAGGGUACCCACCAGAAACCAGAGGGAUUUAUCAAGUGACAUGCCCCAAGUGAAAACAGGGAGGCCGCAUGCCCAGAUGCAACAGGGAGGAGAAUUAUAGCAGCAGUCAAAAGUCGGAUCCUCUUUCUGGCCCUCUCCCUUACUAAGCAUGGGCCAACGGCUAGGAUGAAGGUGGACUCGCGCCCCAUGCUGCCCACCUCACCAGGCUGCUACGAAGCUCCACGGGGAAGACAAGAGCAGGGCAAUGAGGAGGGGGUGUUUUAUCACUCACUCCCACCCCUAGGCCCCUCCUCCUGCAAUCCUGCCCCCAAGAGUUGCAAAGGGCUUUGAGCAAGGGUCCAAGGGAACUGAAAUCCUCAGCUCCAGCUGCCUCUUUCCCACCUGGGACUGAGGGUUUUCAGCCCCCUUCAUUCCAGCCUUGCCUUCAAGAGAUAAGGUUGCUCUGACACAUGGGAUAGGCCAAAGUCUUAGCGAAACCUCAAUGACAGCAUCAUGUGUUUACUAUAAGCCCAGCUCCCAUGCCAUCUUGCAGGUGCAAAAACAGGCUCAGGGAGAAACAGGUAAACCCUUUGGUCCUCAGGCCCCUCUUCAUUCCCACCUCAGGUACCCUCAUCUUUUCCCUCAGGAAGCCCUGCUUUCUGGAAGGACUCCUCUCCCCUCUCCCCGGAGAAGGGAUUUAGGCUUUAGGCAGCCGGAGGGAAGAGUGAGACCCUUGCCUCUGCUUCAGGGCCUGUCUUAGGUGGCAGCAAGGCCUCCUGUCCCUCCUGAGAAGGCCCCACCUUCUCUCCCUGGAAUGGGGUCGGAUGAGCUUCUAGGGCUUGGGAACCUUGGGGGAUACAGGCAGAAGCACCUGCUAGUCUAUAAGAUUCCUCUAUGCAAAUUUUUAAAAGGUACCCCGUUUCCAGGCAGA